rnacentral:rRNA from 1 species
ACUCCUACGGGAGGCAGCAGUGGGGAAUUUUGGACAAUGGGCGAAAGCCUGAUCCAGCCAUGCCGCGUGCAGGAUGAAGGCCUUCGGGUUGUAAACUGCUUUGUACGGAACGAAAGACUCUGGUUAAUACCUGGGGUCCAUGACGGUACCGUAAGAAUAAGCACCGGCUAACUACGUGCCAGCAGCCGCGGUAAUACGUAGGGUGCAAGCGUUAAUCGGAAUUACUGGGCGUAAAGCGUGCGCAGGCGGUUAUAUAAGACAGAUGUGAAAUCCCCGGGCUCAACCUGGGAACUGCAUUUGUGACUGUAUAGCUAGAGUACGGCAGAGGGGAUGGAAUUCCGCGUGUAGCAGUGAAAUGCGUAGAUAUGCGGAGGAACACCGAUGGCGAAGGCAAUCCCCUGGGCCUGUACUGACGCUCAUGCACGAAAGCGUGGGAGCAAACAGGAUUAGAUACCCCUGGUAGGAUAGCG